AGAGGGUGCGAGCGUUAAUCGGAAUUACUGGGCGUAAAGCGCGCGUAGGUGGAUAUUUAAGUUGGAUGUGAAAUACCCGGGGCUCAACCUGGGAUGGUCAUCCGAAACUGGGUAUCUAGAGUACAGUAGAGGGGAGUGGAAUUUCCGGUGUAGCGGUGAAAUGCGUAGAUAUCGGAAGGAACACCAGUGGCGAAGGCGGCUCCCUGGACUGAUACUGACACUGAGGUGCGAAAGCGUGGGUAGCGAACAGGAUUAGAUACCCUGGUAGUCCACGCCGUAAACGAUGAGAACUAGCUGUUAGUGCUGUUAUGGCAUUAGUGGCGCAGCAAACGCGUUAAGUUCUCCGCCUGGGGAGUACGGCCGCAAGGCUA
rnacentral:rRNA from 1 species